AUUGAACGCUGGCGGCAUGCCUUACACAUGCAAGUCGAACGGCAGCACGGGUGCUUGCACCUGGUGGCGAGUGGCGAACGGGUGAGUAAUACAUCGGAACAUGUCCUGUAGUGGGGGAUAGCCCGGCGAAAGCCGGAUUAAUACCGCAUACGAUCCACGGAUGAAAGCGGGGGACCUUCGGGCCUCGCGCUAUAGGGUUGGCCGAUGGCUGAUUAGCUAGUUGGUGGGGUAAAGGCCUACCAAGGCGACGAUCAGUAGCUGGUCUGAGAGGACGACCAGCGACGCUGGGACUGAGACACGGCCCAGACUCCUACGGGAGGCAGCAGUGGGGAAUUUUGGACAAAGGGCGAAAGCCUGAUCCAGCAAUGCCGCGUGUGUGAAGAAGGCCUUCGGGUUGUAAAGCACUUUUGUCCGGAAAGAAAUCCUUGGCUCUAAUACAGUCGGGGGAUGACGGUACCGGAAGAAUAAGCACCGGCUAACUACGUG
rnacentral:rRNA from 1 species